rnacentral:rRNA from 1 species
UACGUAGGGUGCGAGCGUUAAUCGGAAUUACUGGGCGUAAAGCGUGCGCAGGCGGUUUUGUAAGUCUGUUGUGAAAUCCCCGGGCUCAACCUGGGAAUGGCAAUGGAGACUGCAAGGCUAGAGUUUGGCAGAGGGGGGUAGAAUUCCACGUGUAGCAGUGAAAUGCGUAGAUAUGUGGAGGAACACCGAUGGCGAAGGCAGCCCCCUGGGUCAAAACUGACGCUCAUGCACGAAAGCGUGGGGAGCAAACAGG